GAAGAAAAGAUGAAGAACAUAUAGUUGCAUAUAAUAUUACAGUAGGUAACAGCAUAUGGGAAUGCCUCGUUAGACCGACACGACUCGAUCACCAGCAACCUCACAGUUAUCAUCUGCACGCAGUAGAAACAUCAUCCUCACAAGGAAAUGGAACCACACAACACAACUAAGGUAGAAGACACUCGGUUUCAGUUCAUGGACACGAAAGACAGGGUACUUCAUGCAACGUUACAGCCGCUACUAACGUAGAAGGGACUCAGUUUCAUGUGCUGUGAGAGGGCUGUUAUGGUUCUCAGAUGCCUUGGGAGGGGUGGCAUGGCCGACGCCAGGGCUGUGUCCUUCCAAGGUGGGCGGCUGCCAUGCCAUCAGAUGUCUGAUGCCAUGGCUCUCUUCAAAGAUCUCGCCUACCGGUGCAUGACCUUCUUGGGUUCUUGCUUCAGCCAUGAGAACAAGCUGCACGAGGAGGAUGGAAAUUAUCACCUUUGCUGCUGGAGCCAUGGAUUAGGGUUCCGAUCAGCUGCAGACAGGAGGAGGAGAGGUGGAAUGAGUUGCAGCUAUAUCUGCAUUUUCCCCUUCCUUUUAUACUGAAGCGAGGGUGUCCUUGUUAGGGUUUCAGGACCCACUGUCUUCAAUGGAGG
rnacentral:lncRNA from 1 species